GUUCAUGAUGAGCUUGACCGGGAAUGAAUGGUGAUGUAAAGGCACGUGUGCUGAUU
rnacentral:snoRNA from 1 species